GACGAACGCUGGCGGCGUGCCUAAUACAUGCAAGUCGAGCAGACCGAACAGGAGCUUGCUCUUGUUCGGUUAGCGGCGGACGGGUGAGUAACACGUGGGUAACCUGCCCGUAAGACCGGGAUAACUCCGGGAAACCGGAGCUAAUACCGGAUAACACCGAAGACCGCAUGGUCUUUGGUUGAAAGGCGGCUUCGGCUGCCACUUACGGAUGGGCCCGCGGCGCAUUAGCUAGUUGGUGAGGUAACGGCUCACCAAGGCGACGAUGCGUAGCCGGCCUGAGAGGGUGACCGGCCACACUGGGACUGAGACACGGCCCAGACUCCUACGGGAGGCAGCAGUAGGGAAUCUUCCGCAAUGGACGAAAGUCUGACGGAGCGACGCCGCGUGAGCGAAGAAGGUCUUCGGAUCGUAAAGCUCUGUUGUUAGGGAAGAAGAAGCGUCGUUCGAACAGGGCGGCGCGGUGACGGUACCUAACGAGAAAGCCCCGGCUAACUACGUG
rnacentral:rRNA from 1 species